UAUCGUUUGAUGGUACGAUAAACGAAUC
rnacentral:sRNA from 1 species